GGUCCGGCAGCUCAGUUGGUUAGAGCAUUGUCCUGAUAUGCCAAGGCUGUGGGUUUGAUUCCCAGUCGGGGCA
rnacentral:tRNA from 1 species